rnacentral:misc_RNA from 1 species
AACGCACGAGACCUGCGGACCUGCGGAAGGAUCAUUACCGAGUUUACAACUCCCAAACCCAAUGUGAACGUUACCAAACUGUUGCCUCGGCGGGGUCACGCCCCGGGUGCGUCGCAGCCCCGGAACCAGGCGCCCGCCGGAGGAACCAACCAAACUCUUUCUGUAGUCCCCUCGCGGACGUUAUUUCUUACAGCUCUGAGCAAAAAUUCAAAAUGAAUCAAAACUUUCAACAAUGGAUCU